AGUUCCCUUCGGGGACAUUGGUGACAGGUGGUGCAUGGUUGUCGUCAGCUCGUGUCGUGAGAUGUUGGGUUAAGUCCCGCAACGAGCGCAACCCUUGUCUUUAGUUGCCAUCAUUAAGUUGGGCACUCUAGAGAGACUGCCAGGGAUAACCUGGAGGAAGGUGGGGAUGACGUCAAAUCAUCAUGCCCCUUAUGCUUAGGGCUACACACGUGCUACAAUG
rnacentral:rRNA from 1 species